rnacentral:rRNA from 1 species
UACGGAGGAUCCAAGCGUUAUCCGGAUUUAUUGGGUUUAAAGGGUGCGUAGGCGGCUUAUUAAGUCAGGGGUGAAAGACGGUGGCUCAACCAUCGCAGUGCCUUUGAUACUGAUGAGCUUGAAUACACUUGAGGUAGGCGGAAUGUGACAAGUAGCGGUGAAAUGCAUAGAUAUGUCACAGAACACCAAUUGCGAAGGCAGCUUACUAAGGUGCAAUUGACGCUGAGGCACGAAAGCGUGGGGAUCAAACAGGA